UCACUAUCCCCAAUCUGGCUGCGUGUUACCUAACAAAUUGCCCCAUGUUCACUACUCGCCACUCUUCACCUCAGGGGAUCUGUGUUUAUAGGAGAGAAGAAUCGGACGCUAUUCGCAAUCUUUCUUUUUAUGCUUGUGAUUCACAGCCGAAUUCCGGCGAACUGCACCCUAAACCAGUAUUUCCAAUGAGCGUUUUUUUUCUGUCUUGCCAUCACGAAUGAGCCAAGUAAGAGCCGGGUCACGCACCCUUAGUGACCAGUAGGGGUCUCUCUUUCAUCUCACCCUGGCCGAGGGGAAAACUUCAGAGGCUGGAAUGAUGACCCUGCUGCUCCCUGGUGGCAGCCCUCUCCUCCAUGUGAGGGUUUCCACAACACCAGAGGUGGAAGUCCUACCACAAAAAUCCCAGGAAUUCUGAGUUUUCACCACAGUCGUUUCUGAUUGGCUAACAUUUCACACCAGAUUCAGCUGAAAUCAAACGCAUAUCGACGUCCCUUUAGAGGCAGUGCUGAAAUGUCGUGGGGACACUUCCUGUUCUUACCAAUACAGUUUCUACAGAUGCCGUCUGCUUCCUCUCUCCCUCGGUAUGGCGACUGAGGUGGACGGCACAAUCAACCAAACAAUGUCAAUAAAAAAAAAAGAAUUGUCAA